GCUCCUUGGAGGUCUCUGGGACUCAUAAUUUGGGCAUAACAGUACUUUAAUACAGCAAGUACUCUGAGCCUGUGAAGGUCUCCAUGUAGGACAGUGUAAUGCUGAGAAUGAUACAUACGUGAUGUACCCUAUGAAUUUAGGGUACAUCAUCCAACUGAGGAAAACUUUACCUAAUUUUACUUCUAAGUCAGGGAGAGCCUUACUAAGAGUCAUGUACAAAUUGUAAGAUGGGAAGAUGGCUUCUAGUGUUCAGUACAGAGUGAUGGCUCCUGACAUGCUCUGUGGUCCUUUCAAAGCAGCCUGCUACCUUUCCCCUUUCUCCAACUAUUCCUGCUGUGAGAUUGGCAAACAAACACGUAAGACCGGGUGCAGUGCUUGUAGCCUGGAGCCGAAGAGAGCAGUUUCUAACAAUCGAUGCAGCUUCCACACGGGAACUACAACAAUUAGUUUCUUUUUUCUCAGACAAGCAGAAUUUAGCAUAGAAAAGAAGUGGCACUACGUUGAAGUAGUGAGGAGGAGGCAACUUGGGCCAGAUAAUAGGGCCAGUAGCACUGAACUUGGGAACUGCAGUGAAUGUAGGUAAUGUACAAAAUUAUAAGGAAAACCCGUGCCAGUUGAGUUUGGAAGUGGGGAUGGAAGGCAUCAUGAAGAAAUUGCCAACUACAUGAUCACAGAGAAUAAUUAUGAAGAGUUUGAUGGAAACGAUUUCUCAAAGAGUAUAAAGAGAACCUGAAAAGGGGGUCUUU